AAUAGAUACCCUGGUAGUCCACGCUGUAAACGUUGGGCGCUAGGUGUGGGGGGGCCUCUCCGGUUCUCUGUGCCGCAGCUAACGCAUUAAGCGCCCCGCCUGGGGAGUACGGCCGCAAGGCUAAAACUCAAAGGAAUUGACGGGGGGCCCGCACAAGCGGCGGAGCAUGCGGAUUAAUUCGAUGCAACGCGAAGAACCUUACCUGGGUUUGACAUGGCCGCAAAACCGGCAGAGAUGUCGGGUCCUUCGGGGGCGGUCACAGGUGGUGCAUGGCUGUCGUCAGCUCGUGUCGUGAGAUGUUGGGUUAAGUCCCGCAACGAGCGCAACCCUCGUUCGAUGUUGCCAGCGGUUCGGCCGGGGUACUCAUCGAAGACUGCCGGGGUCAACUCGGAGGAAGGUGGGGAUGACGUCAAGUCAUCAUGCCCCUUAUGUCCAGGGUCUUCACGCAUGCUACAAUGGCCGGUACAAUGGGCUGCGAUACCGUGAGGUGGAGCGAAUCCCGAAAAAGCCGGUCUCAGUUCGGAUCGGGGUCUGCAACGUCGACCCCGU
rnacentral:rRNA from 1 species